CAAUAGCGUAUAUUAAAGUUGUUGCAGUUAAAAAGCUCGUAGUUGGAUUUCUGGUUCUCUGUUUUCUCGUUCCGAAUGGAAAAGAAGAGAAUGGGGAUGCCAUAUUUGCAAGGACCUUGUCUGCAAUUAAUUUUGUGGGUUUGUGAAUUGCAUCUUUUACUGUGAAAAAAUUAGAGUGUUCAAAGCGGGCUUACGCUUGAAUAUUUCAGCAUGGAAUAACACUAUAGGACUCCUGUCCUAUUUCGUUGGUCUCGGGACGGGAGUAAUGAUUAAGAGGAACAGUUGGGGGCAUUCGUAUUUCAUUGUCAGAGGUGAAAUUCUUGGAUUUAUGAAAGACGAACUUCUGCGAAAGCAUUUGCCAAGGAUGUUUUCAUUAA
rnacentral:rRNA from 1 species